UCACCGUGCUCCGGCGACAGCACCGCUGCCCGCGGCGGCGAUCCGCCUCGGGUUGGUCGUUUUCGGCCGAAUUCAGCCAAACUUGCAUUGGUUCCUAUGAUAAAACAACCCUAGGGCCCUCAAUGGGCCAAAAAAUCAUGAAAAAUCGAGACUUACCGGCGGCGGAGCUCUCGGGUACGGCGACUUCUCCGGUGCGAGUCGCGAUUUG
rnacentral:lncRNA from 1 species